ACUCUUGUUUCUGUUAUCAUUCUAAAUCCUCAUUGUCGCCGAAACUGUCAGUAAGUUGAUUUUCUUUUUGGGUUUUGCUCCUUGAAUUAUCGAAUAAACGAUGGCGCUGUUUGCCGAUGGUACUGCUGUAACAAAAACAUGGUUAAUGCAUCCGAGUCUAUAAGAGUUUGAUUCCAUGUUGACCUGAGCAAAGCUGUAGGCAAGGAUCAUUCCUGAAUCUGAAAGGGCUUGUAUGCUUUGAGGCUUUGAAUCAGUCCUUGAACAGAUCCAGCGGCAGCAAUGAGUGAUACUAUCAAGCAGACCCAGCUCAGUAUUUUCAGCCACAUCCACCUGAACGAGUACUUGGGCAUUUUCGUUUGUGCAAUGUGCAU